ACCAUUGCAAAAUUCAAAAUUAAGCAAACAAACGCAACAAUGCGAGCCAAAACGAUCUGCCAUGAAAUAAAAUAAAAUAAAAAAUGAAAAACCGCCAGAUUCGCAUUUUUGAAGUAACAAUUAUUCCAUGGAUUCUAAUUUUCCCUUGGAUUUCUUGGCAAGGUAGACACAGGUGAGCAUCAAACACGAUAACAAAUCUUAUAAAAUAAAUCACGACCUAGAAAACAAUUUUUUGAAAGAAAAAAAAAACAACAUUUAGAAUUUUACAUUACGAAACAGAUCUGAGGAUAAUCAGAAUGCGAGAGAGAGAGAGAGAGAGAGAAUUUUACAAACCAGUCAAGAACGGUCGGAAUUUGCUAGACGGGAGAGCGUUUUGGUUUAUUCUCCCAAAUACUGGA
rnacentral:lncRNA from 1 species